rnacentral:rRNA from 1 species
AGUGAACGCUGGCGGUAGGCCUAACACAUGCAAGUCGAACGGCAGCACAGGAGAGCUUGCUCUCUGGGUGGCGAGUGGCGGACGGGUGAGGAAUACAUCGGAAUCUACUCUGUCGUGGGGGAUAACGUAGGGAAACUUACGCUAAUACCGCAUACGACCUACGGGUGAAAGCAGGGGAUCUCCGGACCUUGCGCGAUUGAAUGAGCCGAUGUCGGAUUAGCUAGUUGGCGGGGUAGAGGCCCACCAAGGCGACGAUCCGUAGCUGGUCUGAGAGGAUGAUCAGCCACACUGGAACUGAGACACGGUCCAGACUCCUACGGGAGGCAGCAGUGGGGAAUAUUGGACAAUGGGCGCAAGCCUGAUCCAGCCAUACCGCGUGGGUGAAGAAGGCCUUCGGGUUGUAAAGCCCUUUUGUUGGGAAAGAAAUCCAGCUGGCUAAUACCCGGUUGGGAUGACGGUACCCAAAGAAUAAGCACCGGCUAACUUCGUGCCAGCCGCCGCCGUAA